CAGUAGCCACGGGAAUACGGAGGGAGCUAGCGUUGUUCGGAAUUACUGGGCGUAAAGCGCACGUAGGCGGUUAUUCAAGUCAGAGGUGAAAGCCCGGGGCUCAACCCCGGAACUGCCUUUGAAACUAGAUGACUGGAAUCUUGGAGAGGUCAGUGGAAUUCCGAGUGUAGAGGUGAAAUUCGUAGAUAUUCGGAAGAACACCAGUGGCGAAGGCGACUGACUGGACAAGUAUUGACGCUGAGGUGCGAAAGCGUGGGGAGCAAACAGGAUUAGAUACCCCUGUAGUCCCUGUCUCUUAUAU
rnacentral:rRNA from 1 species